UACGUAGGGGGCAAGCGUUGUCCGGAAUUACUGGGCGUAAAGCGCGUGUAGGCGGGACGGCAAGUCGGACGUGAAAGGCUCGGGCUCAACCCGAGAAGGCCGUUCGAAACUGCCGUUCUUGAGGGUCGAAGAGGAGAGUGGAAUUCCUGGUGUAGCGGUGAAUGCGCAGAUAUCAGGAAGAACACCCGUGGCUAAGGCGGCUCUCUAGUACGGUACUGACGCUGAGACGCGAAAGCGUGGGGAGCGAACAGG
rnacentral:rRNA from 1 species